UCAUCGCCAUAGGGACACACGUACAAGGAAAUUGCUACCAAAUGCUGCCAAUGUGACGUCACUGGGAUGCUCGAAAGCUGAUUGGUCGCUGAGAUUCGAGUAAUGUAGUCAAUUCUGGCGCACCGGCGCAGUGUUUUCCGACCGUUGCGUGUUAUUACUUUGGUUGCUAUGCAAAGUUUUAAUAUGUUUGUAUAAUAAUAUAAACACAUUUUCAUGUGUUUGAAGGUCGCAAAAGCUUAACAUAAGUGGCAACCACACUUUGUAUUACGUUUCGUCUCAUAUAUCAUGAAGAACAACCAAGUAUUUCAAGGAAAGCUGAGGCGAGGGCGAGUAGGUCCCUGAGGAGGACCACUGCAAAGGAGGUCAAGGAGAUUCUGGGGGCAACCUGCGAGCAACCUCUAGACCAGCCAGCAGGGACCUCUGACAAUGCCGCUGCCGGUGUCGACGCUGGCAGCCAUGGCCGGCGCCGAGCUGACGAGUUCCAACCUGGAAGCUCAGCGCGAGGGGCUGGCAUUUGUUGCCGGCUUCGUGGCAUACAAGUGUCACCACGUCGACGCCACCCUCGGUAGCCGGUCUCCUGACUUCUCGGGCGCCGCUGGAGACACUGAACACCCUGCCGAACAGCUGAAUUGUGACGAUAAGCCGAGGCCAGCUGUUUGUUCUGUCACAAGCCUGGAUGGCCGCUGUGGAGGAGUUCGAGCGGAACUUCUGCCUGCUGAUGGGGGCAACUGCAGAUCAGGGGCCGCGAGUCAUAUAGCGUCUCAAGCUGUUCAUCGCCGUCAAGCAGCCUCAGCUCGGCACCCGCGUGUCCAGGAAGUUGGCGAGCACCCGUCUCCACCUCCCCCUUCGGUCCCUUAGCCUGACUGGACGAGGUCCGGCAGCUGAAAAGAGCCGAUAGAAAAGUUGGCCAUCAUGCAAGGAGCUCUAGGUGAGCUGGUAAACCGGCUCG